UUAAAUUUCCCACGCAUUACUUUCAAUUUCCAACACAAAUUUCAUUUCUAAAGCGAACAACAAUGUCGUCAGCGUGCUCCAGACUCUCAUAAAGCACGCUACAAUAAGCCAAUAAGAAUCCCUGUUAGAAUGGUUCAAAUAAUCUAAUUGGCUGUACAAGACUAAAACUGUCAAAAUGUCAAACCAUCGAAGUUCAAAAACCAUCAAAGUCAGUCACAUUCUGCAACCAUACUCGCUGCAGUAAGUAGGAGCUAGCGAGGGGUCCAGUAUUUUGAUAAGUGCCAAUUAAAGGUCUUUGUAGGAAUUUGUUGUACUGUGAUUACGUCAAGAUAAAGGAGGGGCUCCAUUAUUACAAACAUUCCGGAAAUAUCGUCAUAGGCAGUAUAUAAACAAGAAAGUCUCUCCCGUUCUCGAGUUGCGUUUAUCACAUCAGGGUCAUCUUCCCUAGACGCUGUUUAAGGUAUCUAAAAAAAGGGAACUUGAAAAUCAACAAAACUACUACUAUGGGAAAAUACUUCAUAUAUUCCUCCGUUUGAAAUGAUCCUAUAAGAUGACCUGCAGUUUUGACAUACUUUCAUUGUACGUUUGCUUUCUAAGAGAGGAGUGCAUGGCCAAGACCAGAAGAUCUUAAUAUUGCUUUUAAAUAUUCACUUAAAUAAUCCAUUAUGUAACACAAAUCGCAAAUUGCUAUUUUAACGUUUGUGUACGUGUUCGCGGUUGAUCAAAUGAAUCCUUGCCGUCAUCCUGCACAGCCUACGCACCAUGUAGUAUUCAAUUCAUGUUCUUUGGAAUGCUUUUAUGCGUUACAUUCUUUGUUAAUGCUCUCCUGCUGAAUUACGUUCUUAUUCAGAGUCGUUGCAGUCAUCUGCUGUUACAUUUAAUUUAAUGGAUGUUAAGGUGAAUAAAGCUUGAACUGCUGAA